CAAGCAGACCUUUUGCACCUAAUAAUGGUGUUGGUGUGAAUCAACCGGGAGAGAGUCCAGAGUCUUCACAAGUUAUUUUGGGCUCAAACUUAGGUUCCCAGAUGGUCUCUAAACAAG